GGGGCGGUGAUGAAAUGGUAGACAUUGGAGACUUAAAAUCUCCUGGCCGCAAGGCCGUGAGGGUUCGAGUCCCUCCCGCCCCACCU
rnacentral:tRNA from 1 species